CCUACGGGAGGCUGCAGUGGGGGAUAUUGCACAAUGGGGGAAACCCUGAUGCAGCGACGCCGCGUGUGGGAAGACGGUCCUCUGGAUUGUAAACCACUGUCACCAGGGACGAAGAUGACGGUACCUGGGGAGGAAGCUCCGGCUAACUACGUGACAGCAGCCGCGGUAAUACGUAGGGAGCGAGCGUUGUCGGGAAUUACUGGGUGUAAAGGGAGCGUAGGCGGGGAUGCAAGGUGGGUGUAAAAACUACCGGCUCAACUGGGAGUCGCACUCAAAACUGCAGCUGUUGAGUGAAGUAGAGGCAGGCGGAAUUCCUAGUGUAGCGGUGAAAUGCGUAGAUAUUAGGAGGAACACCAGUGGCGAAGGCGGCCUGCUGGGCUUUUACUGACGCUGAGGCUCGAAAGUGUGGGGAGCAAACAGGAUUAGAUACCCCAGUAGUC
rnacentral:rRNA from 1 species